UACGAAGGGGGCUAGCGUUGCUCGGAAUCACUGGGCGUAAAGCGCACGUAGGCGGCUUUUUAAGUCAGGGGUGAAAUCCUGGAGCUCAACUCCAGAACUGCCUUUGAUACUGGGAAGCUUGAGUCCGGAAGAGGUGAGUGGAACUCCGAGUGUAGAGGUGAAAUUCGUAGAUAUUCGGAAGAACACCAGUGGCGAAGGCGGCUCACUGGUCCGGUACUGACGCUGAGGUGCGAAAGCAUGGGGAGCAAACAGG
rnacentral:rRNA from 1 species